ACGGGAGGCAGCAGUGGGGAAUAUUGCACAGUGGGCGCAAGCCUGAUGCAGCGAUGCCGCGUGAGGGAAGAAGGUUUUCGGAUUGUAAACCUCUGUCAUCGGGGACGAUAAUGACUGUACCCGAGCAGGAAGCUCCGGCUAACUACGUGCCCGCAGCCGCGGUAAUACGUAGGGAGCGAGCGUUAUCCGGAAUUACUGGGUGUAAAGGGAGUGUAGGCGGGACUGUAAGUCAGAUGUGAAAUAUGCCGGCUCAACUGGCAGACUGCAUUUGAAACUGCGGUUCUUGAGUGAAGUAGAGGUGAGCGGAAUUCCUCGUGUAGCGGUGAAAUGCGUAGAUAUUGGGAGGAACAUCGGUGGCGAAGGCAGCUUACUGGGCUUUAACUGACGCUGAGGCUCGGAAGCGUGGGGAGCAAACAGGAUUAGAUACCCUGGUA
rnacentral:rRNA from 1 species